GCGCGUGUAGCCCAACCGGCAGGAGGCGGCUGAUUUAAGACCAGCACAGUGAGAGUUCGAAUCUCUCCACGCGCACCA
rnacentral:tRNA from 1 species